rnacentral:tRNA from 1 species
GCCUGGGUGGCUCAGUGGUUGAGCAUCUGCUUUUGGCUCAGGGCAUGAUUCCAGAAUUCUGGGAUCGAGUCCCACAUCAGGCU